rnacentral:rRNA from 1 species
AGUGAACGCUGGCGGUGGGCCUAACACAUGCAAGUCGAACGGCAGCACAGUAAGAGCUUGCUCUUACGGGUGGCGAGUGGCGGACGGGUGAGGAAUACAUCGGAAUCUACUUUUUCGUGGGGGAUAACGUAGGGAAACUUACGCUAAUACCGCAUACGACCUACGGGUGAAAGCAGGGGAUCUUCGGGCCUUGCGCGAUUGAAUGAGCCGAUGUCGGAUUAGCUAGUUGGCGGGGUAAAGGCCCACCAAGGCGACGAUCCGUAGCUGGUCUGAGAGGAUGAUCAGCCACACUGGAACUGAGACACGGUCCAGACUCCUACGGGAGGCAGCAGUGGGGAAUAUUGGACAAUGGGCGCAAGCCUGAUCCAGCCAUACCGCGUGGGUGAAGAAGGCCUUCGGGUUGUAAAGCCCUUUUGUUGGGAAAGAAAAGCAGCAGGUUAAUACCCCGCUGUUCUGACGGUACCCAAAGAAUAAGCACCGGCUAACUUCGUG